rfam:TPA: Bos taurus chromosome 7, whole genome shotgun sequence.
CCAAAGGCUCUUCUCAAAGCCACUCACAUGGCCAGGAGAGCUGUG